CCCCAGCAGAUGCUGACAGACAUGUGGAUGCUCUGCUUCCAUCCCUAGGCAACAACCUCAGGUGACAACAGGAAAAAACCCACAAACGACCCCCAGAAGGAUGCUUUGCCAAAACAGGCUUGCCAAACUUUAAAAUCGGAGGAAGUAGAGGAUAUUUGGGCACGAAGAUGCUGCUCACCCCCAUGACCAAGGCACCCUGUGGCAGAACAUCUCUGCAUGGCUCCUUCCCAGUCUGGAUGUUGAAUACAAAUCUCUAAAUACAAAAAGAACGGUAGAGGAGAACAAAU